rnacentral:tRNA from 1 species
GCGCAGAUGGUUUAGUGGUAUAAUUACCGCCUGCCACGCGGUAGACCCGGGUUCGAUUCCCGGUCUGCGUA